rnacentral:rRNA from 1 species
CAGUAGCCGCGGUAAUACGUAGGUCCCGAGCGUUGUCCGGAUUUAUUGGGCGUAAAGCGAGCGCAGGCGGUUAGAUAAGUCUGAAGUUAAAGGCUGUGGCUUAACCAUAGUACGCUUUGGAAACUGUUUAACUUGAGUGCAGAAGGGGAGAGUGGAAUUCCAUGUGUAGCGGUGAAAUGCGUAGAUAUAUGGAGGAACACCGGUGGCGAAAGCGGCUCUCUGGUCUGUAACUGACGCUGAGGCUCGAAAGCGUGGGGAGCGAACAGGAUUAGAUACCCCUGUAGUCCCUGUCUCUUAUACA